AUACUGAAAGUAUAGAUUACGUACAAUUGCCUUCCAAGCAAAAGGACCAAACCGGUCAGUAUU
rnacentral:tRNA from 1 species